GGGACCAGCUGCGUGUGGGGGCUGCCUGUCUGAGACAGCCGCAUGUGUUCGUCCGCGUUACCUUCUUUCUCCUACCCGUGAGAGCAGUAAAAACCUAGAUCGCGGGGCACCCAAUCCCCGCGUCUCCUCUCCUCCCCAAUCCCCAUUUCUCCACUUCCCCAAUGGAGUCCAAUCAUCCGCAUCCUUCCUCCUCCCCCGAUCCGUGCCGCCUUCUUCCUCCUCCCCCGAUCCGCACCGACUCCUCUCGUCCUCCCGAAGGCGCCGAAGAAGGGGCGCUGCAAAAGGGAUGAGCAGAGGCAGGAGGGAGCGCGGGCGCUGCCGCUGCCGCUUCAUACCUCGCAUCGGGAUAGCGGGACCAAGAAAAGUGGCUGUGAGGCGCUGUUGUGUGGACCACCGGGAGGCCACUGUCACUACCGGUCGCGGGCGUGGCCCUACCAAGUGUAGGCGGGCGUGGGCUGCGUCAGCCGCCGACUCAGGUCGAUGGCGGCGCGGGGGAGACCGGCUGCGGCGGCCAGGGCCCAUCGACGAGCGCCUCCACAGGAGGUGGCGCUGAGAGACCGGCUGUGUGACCACGGCCGACGAGCUCGACGAGAUGGCGGGCUAGGGUUAGCCGUUGCGAGCGCGCCGCGACCAACACUGGGAAGGGAACGACUAAUCAACCAGAGAACUAGAUUUUUGCAAUUUGGACAAGGAUUUAAGUAAGAAAAGUCAGAAGAAGAGGAUCUCUAGGAGCAGGUCAACCAUGGCCAGAUGCACACGUAUUUGAUGAAAUGCAUGCACACGUAUUUGAUGAAAUGCAGAUCUCACCACGAAGAAGCCAUGGGAGGAGAGUAGGUUGGCCGGCCGUGCGCGGCGUUGCGCCACUGGUGGACGAUGGUGGCCGGCCGCACGCACAACUGGUGGAAGAUGGUGGCCGCGGCUGCUGGUGGUCUCAUUUUCUGGCUAUCAAUAAAUAGUGGGAGGAGGGGUGGCCUUGGGAGUCCUCCGGCUCCGGCGCAAGUAUGCGUUGCGAUGCAUUCCGUCCAGCCUGGUGUGGCUCUGGUUGAGGAAUGGCUCUCUCUGCUUGUUGGAACAGGAAGGGAGCAAGCAAGAAAUAUAUCAGCCAAUGAACUGGUUGAUAAAUAGAUUGGACCAAUAUUGGAAAAGAGCACAAGAUUUGAGGAUUAGAGAAUGCUUCUAGACCAGAAGCACCAUCUUUAGACUACGCAUCGAGCGGCUGUUAUUCGAUGUGGGAACUAAAAUUCACUGUUUUGACCCGAUCGGACGAUCAACGAAGGUUUGCCCCCUGGAGUGACAGUCCAAAAUUUACCCUGAACUGAUUAGGGCACUUGCUAAGCAAGUAGUCGAAGACUAGAGCCAGCUGAAGAUGAACAAGAAAUUGCAGCAGCUGAAGGCACCAACAAACCUUGAGGUGUCAAAACUUAGUGUGGAAGGCCGUGGGAUGGUCAGAGUCACAAUAUUCGUUGCUCGUUUUAUAUCUAGGAGUAAUGCAUUGGUGUGGACUUGGGAUUGCGGCGGUUGUACCUGCAGAUGUGGCGGAAGGCAAAGCUGAAAUUAUACUGAAGUUUUCCAUCUUUGCCAAGGUUUUUAACCUCUAUUUCUAUUCACAGAGAGGCUUUUAUCAUUUUGUUGCACAAUGCAAGCUUUCCUUUGAUACUUACCAAUUAUUCAAGCAACCUUUAUUAUUUUCUAUAUUCACAGUACCUGCAUAUGUGAGGGUUCUGCCACUGCAGAACAAUGGGGGCCUCUACCUAUGGACCGCGAUAAUGGCAAGUGACUACAAUAGUUCAUCCUUUUAGUGGAGAUUUGAUGAAUAGUCUGUUUCGGGAAUGUGCAGUUGGAGAAUUUGUUCAGAUUGGGUUUGGGUGUCCAGGAGACCG